rnacentral:rRNA from 1 species
AGCGAACGCUGGCGGCAGGCCUAACACAUGCAAGUCGAACGGACCCUUCGGGGUUCGUGGCGGACGGGUGAGUAACACGUGGGAACGUGCCUUUAGGUUCGGAAUAGCUCCUGGAAACGGGUGGUAAUGCCGAAUGUGCCCUUCGGGGGAAAGAUUUAUCGCCUUUAGAGCGGCCCGCGUCUGAUUAGCUAGUUGGUGAGGUAACGGCUCACCAAGGCGACGAUCAGUAGCUGGUCUGAGAGGAUGACCAGCCACACUGGGACUGCGACACGGCCCAGACUCCUACGGGAGGCAGCAGUGGGGAAUCUUGCGCAAUGGGCGAAAGCCUGACGCAGCCAUGCCGCGUGAAUGAUGAAGGUCUUAGGAUUGUAAAAUUCUUUCACCGGGGACGAUAAUGACGGUACCCGGAGAAGAAGCCCCGGCUAACUUCGUGCCAGCCGCCGCCGUAA